rnacentral:rRNA from 1 species
UACGUAGGGUGCGAGCGUUAAUCGGAAUUACUGGGCGUAAAGCGUGCGCAGGCGGUUCGUGAUGUCUGAUGUGAAAGCCCCGGGCUCAACCUGGGAAUUGCAUUGGAAACUAGCGGGCUGGAGUGUGGCAGAGGGGGGUGGAAUUCCACGUGUAGCAGUGAAAUGCGUAGAGAUCAGGCAGAACACCUGGGGCGAAGGCGGCCGGCUGGGCCGUCCCUGACGCUGAGGCGCGAAGGCGUGGGGAGCGAACGGG